CAUUUUUCAGUUUCCAGUGCUGAGGGUUGAACCCAGGCCCUUGACCAUGCUAGCACCAUGUGUCACACGGAGGGAUCAUGGUUUAUUCAGGGGCUCAUCGGCUGAUGGACAUUGUGCUGUUUCUACCUUAUUGGAUAAUCAGUGUCCUGAUCUCAGAGGCAAAAAUGUGUGAUUACACAAGCAACACACACGGAAGGCCCAGAGCAAUGCCUGGCACAGGGCUAGGCACCGGACCAACACAGCCUUCAGACCCGGAUCCAGCUUCUCUUCCUCCGGAAGUCUUCCCUGACUCCCUGGGAUGGGUCAUGGCUCCACUGCACAUGGCCCCGCCACAUGGUGUAAUCUAAUGUUUGUGCGAUUAUUCAAUUAGCAUCUCUGCACGGGCCGCCUGGAAGAUCCAUGACAGCGCCGGCCAUGUUUGUCUUGCCCUCCUUUCUUCACCUGUGCCCAGCAAAGAGCCAGGCACAAACGUGUUUGUGGGAGAAUCUUCGAGCCAUCUCUGAGAUCAGUCUGCCUCACAGGUGGACAACGGUCUGCAGAGAGCCCCCAGAAUGACCAAAGAUGGUUUGGGAAAAGUCCGAAACUCCUCAAUUUAACUUCUGUGUAAACUGAGCUUCCCACUGCCUCUGUUGCGAGAAAGAAUCAGCAGUGAAUGCUUUCCGAGCUGUCCUGGGCCCGCACCUUCAGCACUCUGUACAGCUUUUGUUCCUGUGGGCUCAGAGCAGAAUACCAAUGUGGAUUUAUAUGCAGACAUUUGUCUUCCCUGUAGCCUUAUGAGCA
rnacentral:lncRNA from 1 species